GAGUGAGAUGAUGCCAUACCAUCUUUCGGGACUGACCUGGAAUGGAGAGAGCAUUUUUGUUCCUGAUCACUC